rnacentral:tmRNA from 1 species
ACUGGUUUCGACGGGGGAAAUAUUGGCAAGAGUAGCCAGGCGGGGUUCCAUUAGCCCGAAAUACGGUGGAAAAGAAUUAAACGCAAACGAUAAUUACGCUUUAGCUGCUUAGAUUGCAGUUAACCUUCUACCUACUGCUCCCGCGGUGUAGGAUAGAGGGUCAUCUUAGCGGGAUACUCUAAAUCAACCGCCUGCUAGAUUUAGGGGAAACUUAAGCGGGCUAGCCGAGAAGAGAUCCUGUUCCUGGGAGCUCAAUUGGCGAAACUAAAAAACAGGAACUAUCCUGGUAGAAGCUUUUGUGGGUAUUCCUUCGGACAGGGGUUCGAUCA